UCCUCCGUGGCGCAAUUGGCUAGCGCGUUCGACUGUUAUUCCAAACAGACCAUCGAGAGGUUGACAGUUCAAGCCUGUCCGGGGGAG
rnacentral:tRNA from 1 species